rnacentral:tmRNA from 1 species
GGGGUAGAUAUGGCUUUGACAGCGUGUAGAGUUGGUAUGUAAGCAUGUCGGGCGUAGUGAAGCCGGCCCGUAAAUCCCGGACAUAAAAUUGCAAUUGGCGAGUAUAACUACGCUCUUGCGGCUUGAUCGAAGCACAGUAGAUUCGGCUUAAUUCCUGCUCAAGGAGUAGGAACAGGACAUCCCACCGAUGGUUUUUCCAUCUUCCGGUCGACAUUCGGGGUGCAGCAAUAGAUGGAUAGUCUCAACCUGCUUCGGGUUUGAGAUAAAAUAACAGAAGAUAAGGUGUAAUUUGGAUGCUUUUUUCCGGGUUACAUUCGAAAACCAACAAAAAGCUAAGCAUGUAGAAAGUAUAUUGGUUCCAUGUUUGGACCUGGGUUCAAUCCCCAGCUACUCCAC